GACGAACGCUGGCGGCGUGCCUAAUACAUGCAAGUCGAACGCUGAAGGAGGAGCUUGCUCGUCUGGAUGAGUUGCGAACGGGUGAGUAACGCGUAGGUAACCUGCCUGGUAGCGGGGGAUAACUAUUGGAAACGAUAGCUAAUACCGCAUAAGAGUAGAUGUUGCAUGACAUUUGCUUAAAAGGUGCAAUUGCAUCACUACCAGAUGGACCUGCGUUGUAUUAGCUAGUUGGUGGGGUAACGGCUCACCAAGGCGACGAUACAUAGCCGACCUGAGAGGGGGAGCGGCCGCACUGGGACUGAGACACGGCCCAGACUCCUACGGGAGGCAGCAGUAGGGAGUCUUCGGCGAUGGACGGAAGUCUGACCGAGCAACGCCGCGUGAGUGAGGAAUGUUGUCGGAUCGUAAAGCUCUGUUGUAAGAGAAGAACGAGUGUGAGAGUGGAAAGUUCACACGGUGACGGUAGCUGACCAGAAAGGGACGGCUAACUACGUG
rnacentral:rRNA from 1 species